rnacentral:rRNA from 1 species
CAGUCGCCACGGGAAUACGUAGGGUGCGAGCGUUAAUCGGAAUUACUGGGCGUAAAGCGUGCGCAGGCGGUUCGUUAAGACAGAUGUGAAAUCCCCGGGCUUAACCUGGGAACUGCAUUUGUGACUGGCGAGCUAGAGUAUGGCAGAGGGGGGUAGAAUUCCACGUGUAGCAGUGAAAUGCGUAGAGAUGUGGAGGAAUACCGAUGGCGAAGGCAGCCCCCUGGGCCAAUACUGACGCUCAUGCACGAAAGCGUGGGGAGUAAACAGGAUUAGAUACCCGGGUAGUCCCUGUCUCUUAUAC